AUGGGCGUGUUGUGCCGUGACGUACUAGUAAUGGGCGUGUUGUGCCGUGACGUACGAGUAAUGGGCGUGUUGUGCCGUGACGUACGAGUAAUGGGCGUGUUGUGCCGUGGGCGUGUCGUCUUCUGCCGUGUGGCUGCGGCUGCAGAUAGACCUACUUGCUUGUGCCUCUCCUCACGCGGCAACCAUCCAGCGCACCUUCUGCAUCCCCUCGACCCAGCCACACCCCCCCCCCACACCUCUCUCCUCUUCUCCCCUUCUCCCUUUCUACCCUUCUCCCCGGGCGUAUUUGCCAGGAUUACCGCUCCGUCCAGCGGAGCUCUCGGCGAAGAACCGCGGGGAGGCGAUGGAGCGACGGCAGGACUGACAACGGCAAAACGGGCACAGGUACAGCAAGUUGUACAUGAAGAAGUCCAGGACCUGGAUGUUGUCUGCCAUGGACCAGAGCAACGAGACGAGACGAUCCCCGUCAACAUCUAAGCAGAAGCAGGUAAGCAGAGGACCAGGUUAGUCGGCUCAUGAUACUGUAGGUUGAGCAUGAAGUGGUAACAUACUUGUGUACAAAGGCUACUUUAAAAUCCAUAUGGCAGUGUUGUAAAAAAUUCCAAAGUGUAAACAUUUAUGCCAGGUGGGUUGUUUAAUUUUUAUUUUAUUUUUUACAAAUUCUGAACC
rnacentral:lncRNA from 1 species